rnacentral:rRNA from 1 species
AACGAACGCUGGCGGCGUGCCUAACACAUGCAAGUCGAGCGAGAAAGUCCCUUCGGGGGCGAGUAGAGCGGCGGACGGGUGAGUAAUACGUGGAUAAUCUCCCCUUUAGCCUGGGAUAACCCUGCGAAAGUGGGGCUAAUACCGGAUAAGACCACAUAGCAUAUGUUACGUGGUAGAAGGUGGCUUGUAUUUAUAUGAGCUAUCACUUGAGGAUGAGUCCACGGCCUAUCAGCUUGUUGGUGAGGUAAGAGCUCACCAAGGCUAUGACGGGUAGCUGGUCUGAGAGGACGACCAGCCACACUGGGACUGAGACACGGCCCAGACUCCUACGGGAGGUAGCAGUGGGGAAUAUUGGGCAAUGGGCGAAAGCCUGACCCAGCGACGCCGCGUGGGUGAUGAAGGCCUUCGGGUUGUAAAGCCCUUUCGUGCGGAAAGAACAGCCCUGUAGCUAAUAUCUGCAGGGUUUGACGGUACCUUAUGAAUAAGCACCGGCUAACUCCGUGCCAGCCGCCGCAGUAACAC